UACGGAGGGUGCAAACGUUGCUCGGAAUCAUUGGGCGUAAAGCGCACGUAGGCGGCCUGUUAAGUCGGGUGUGAAAGCCCUGGGCUCAACCCAGGAAGUGCACUCGAAACUGGCGGGCUUGAAUAUGGAAGAGGGUCGCGGAAUUCCCGGUGUAGAGGUGAAAUUCGUAGAUAUCGGGAGGAACACCAGUGGCGAAGGCGGCGACCUGGGCCGAAUAUUGACGCUGAGGUGCGAAAGCGUGGGGAGCAAACAGGAUUGAG
rnacentral:rRNA from 1 species